UACGUAGGGGGCUAGCGUUGUCCGGAAUCAUUGGGCGUAAAGAGCGCGUAGGCGGCCCGGUAAGUCUGCUGUAAAAGUCAAAGGCUUAACCUUUGAAAGUCAGUGGAUACUGCCGGGCUAGAGUCCGGAAGAGGCGAGUGGAACUCCUGGUGUAGCGGUGAAAUGCGCAGAUAUCAGGAGGAACACCGAUGGCGAAGGCAGGUCUCUGGGCAUUAACUGACGCUGAGGAGCGAAAGCAUGGGGAGCGAACAGG
rnacentral:rRNA from 1 species